rnacentral:lncRNA from 1 species
UUUUGGUAUAGCAUUGGAAAUGUAAAUGAGCUAAAUACCUAAUAAAAAAUGGGAAAAAAAAACAGUCAUGACUAUUACACCAGUGCGCCUAUGUUGUCAGGCUAGCUGUUGUCAGGCCAGGCUCACAGGGUUCGUGCUUGGUGAGGCUGAUGCUUGCUCUUGUCCUCUGGCAUCGUGCAUAGCGCUUCCAGGACUGUGACACCAGGCUAUAGAAAUGGAGCUUACAAGGUAGUACCAGCUUGAUGUCCCCAUGUCCUGGGACUCAAGAAUGUAGUGUCUUCAGCAGUAGGGUCUUACUGGUAAGUUCUGGGGGAUAGCCAGGAGCGCUGGCAAUAGCCUGUAAUGCUUGGGGAGUCUGUGUGACCCCAACAGCCAGCUCUAAAAGAGUUAACCUAUUCCUGGUCCUGAGUUUUUUAUUUGCUAGCAUAAAGUAUAUGUUUGGGGCAUUAUCUCCCUAUUGUGGGUAUAAUUCCAAUAAACUACUUCAUAUAUAUAUAGUUAUACAUUUUAUGAAGCUUCUAUUGUUUUAGGUCUUUUGUUCAUUUUUCUUCAAGUUGGUGUCUUCUUGAUAAUAAGUAAGAAUUCCUUGAAUCCAAUUCUUAACAUGGCCUUAUAGCCACUUUUGACAUUAUAAAUAUAGUCUCCUAUUUUAUUUUAUAGACAUUAAAAUGAAAUGUAUCUAUAUAAUAUGCUUUGUUGAACACGGGUUCUUUAAUUUUAUACUUUUACAUAUUAUUCUUUAUACUCUAGGCUUUUGAAUUUCACUUGAGAAGAAUUCCCUUGUCACAAAAAUAUUAUGUCUUCUUUCAAGAAUUAGAUGAAUUUCUCUCUUACAUUUAGGUCUUUAAUUCUUUUGUAAUAUAUCUAUUAAAUGGUUUCACAUGGGAAUACAAUUUGUUUUUCUUUCAUAUGGUUGGCCCAUCUUCUUCUUGUGAGGUAAGCCCAUCAGAGACCACCACAAGAACACUCUGAAAGACAAAAAGCAAGUCUUUAUUGCCAGCUGGGGGCUGCAUGGAGAACUUGUCCAGAUUACGCAGCCCCAUGCCUUACAGCCUUUGGUCUUUUCUGCAAUAAACGGCAUCCUGGUUGUCACACUUCCAUUAGUAAGAAGCAGAACAACUCAAAAGCUAAAAGGCAAGGUUAAUACAUUUAGAGUAUUUCCUGGAACUACGGGCCAGGUCUUUGAUGAACUAAGUCAUUGCUCCUAGGUUGGCAAGUAUUAGGACCUGCAUGCUGGGUUUCAAGGUCAGGAUGGUUCCUCUAACAUGGCAUCUGUUAUACUAAGGUCUUGGCCUCAUACAUUCUCACACUAUCUCCUGCAUAUUCCUUUUCCUUUGAUUUUUGGAGCUACUUAUAACUCGUGUUGAAUAUACUGUUUUCCCUGGUGCUUGGUUCUGUUCUAGUUUUUGUAUUUGUCUUUCUUUAUAUUAAUCCCACACAGCUUUUACCACAGUAUGUCUUAGUACCCAGCUUCUUAAGUUGUGAGUUAUAACCCGGAUGUGACUAAGUAACUGAGUGUGGGGGUGCAAAACCUUUGGUGACACUAAAAGGUUUCUGAACAUGCAGUGACCAAAAAUGAACUCAGAAUCACUCUGAGGUGUUUGAGGCAAGGCUCACUCAUGUUACAUUGUAAACGUUACUGCAGCUUUGACUCAGAACACCUAACAUGCCCACAUUGCGGUAUCCAAGCUAUUCCAGCACCAGCCAAUGUGCAGCAAUACCUUAGGCCAGAUUUGAAAUCACCGUGUGCUGUGAAUUGUAGUCAGUGUCACAGUGCAUUUUGCUGCCCUUACAGAAACACAGACAAUAUUUUCACACUGUCACUCUUCAGUGUGUGUUGAAUUAGUGUAUUCUUAGAUUGCAUUCUGGUAGGAUGUUUGACCUUAGAAAUUGCUGUUUGGGUGGCUGAUUUUUCUUUAAAAAAAUAUGGUUAAUGCUGGGUAUAAUGGUACCACACCUUUAAUCUCAACACUUGGGAGGAAGAGUCAGGUGGAUCUUUUGUCCUGGGCUACACAGAGAAACUUUGUCUUGAAAAACAAAAAC